CUUGGUCAUUUAGAGGAAGUAAAAGUCGUAACAAGGUUUCCGUAGGUGAACCUGCGGAAGGAUCAUUAGCGAAACUCGAAAGGUGCGGAGGGGGGACCUUUGCCGGUCCUUCGAAGCCCUUUUUACUUUGUCCACACCUCUGUGCACCCCCGUUCGCGCGAGGUUCUUCGGAACCCUGUGUGAUGCUUAUCUCGAACUCGUAUGUCUACAGAAUGUAACCUAGUGUGUUGGAAAUGGAAAUACAACUUUCAGCAACGGAUCUCUUGGCUCUCGCAUCGAUGAAGGACGCAGCGAAUCGCGAUAAGUAAUGUGAAUUGCAGAUUUUCCGUGAAUCAUCGAAUCUUUGAACGCACCUUGCGCUCCUUGGUAUUCCGAGGAGCAUGCCUGUUUGAGUGUCAUUGAAAAUCUCAAGCCGAGCUGUUUUGACUUUGGUUGAAAAAGCCCGGAUUUUGGAGUGUUGGGAGGUCUGCAGGCAGUCCUGAUCUUUUGGGACUGCCAGCUCUCCUGAAAUGCAUUAGUGGGAUGGGCGUGCGACCAGCCUCUUCGACGUCGUAAUGCGAUCGUCGUGGACUGUGAGCUUUUUCCCCCCCUUGACUUUGCUAUUGUGUGAAGGCUUGACCUCAAAUCAGGUAGGACUACCCGCUGAACUUAAGCAUAUCAAUAAGCGGAGGA
rnacentral:rRNA from 1 species